AUUUUUAAUUGAAAUCUUGUUUGAAUGGUUUUAUGAAAUAAAAUCUAUAUUAUUUUAAAUAUUGAAUUUUAUUUUUUAGUAAUAAAGCUAAAAUUAUAUAAAGGGACGAGAAGACCCUAUAGAAUUUUAUAAUAAUAAUAAAUUAUAUAAAUUAAAAUAAUAUUAUUAUUUUUAUUAUUAUUAUUUUAUUGGGGCGAUAAUUAAAUUUAAUUAACUUUUUAAAUUAUAAUUCAUUAAUAAAUGUAUUUUUGAUCUUUUUAUAUUGAUUAUAAAAUUAAAUUACCUUAGGGAUAACAGCAUAAUAUAGUUAAAAAGUUCUUAUUUUUAAUUUUGUUUAU
rnacentral:rRNA from 1 species